rnacentral:rRNA from 1 species
UACAGAGGGUGCAAGCGUUGUUCGGAAUUACUGGGCGUAAAGGGCGCGUAGGCGGCCUUCUAAGUCGAACGUGAAAUCCCCGGGCUCAACCCGGGAAUUGCGUCCGAUACUGGAAGGCUUGAAUCCGGGAGAGGGAUGCGGAAUUCCAGGUGUAGCGGUGAAAUGCGUAGAUAUCGGGAGGAACACCAGUGGCGAAGGCGGCUUCCUGGCCUGUUCUUGACGUUCAGGCGCGAAAGCUAGGGGAGCAAACGGG